rnacentral:rRNA from 1 species
UACGAAGGGGGCUAGCGUUGUUCGGAAUCACUGGGCGUAAAGGGUGCGUAGGCGGGUCUUUAAGUCAGGGGUGAAAUCCUGGAGCUCAACUCCAGAACUGCCUUUGAUACUGAAGAUCUUGAGUUCGGGAGAGGUGAGUGGAACUGCGAGUGUAGAGGUGAAAUUCGUAGAUAUUCGCAAGGACACCAGUGGCGAAGGCGGCUGACUGGUCCGGUUCUGACGCUGAGGCGCGAAAGCGUGGGGGAGCAAACAGG